rnacentral:rRNA from 1 species
AUGCCGCUCCACCUAUGGUCGCUUGAGGGGGCGGCCGAGGUCUUGGGCGACAAGUGCAUCAUCGACCGCCUCGACAGCCGCACCCACGAGCACGGGCACACGAAGACUUUCGCAUGCUGGGUGUGGGUGUGGGAUGUGGCGUUCAUCCCCACCAGGCACACCAUCUGGAGGGUGGCGCGGGGCGCUGGCCAUGUGGAGGCCAUGCUGGGCUUCUCACCCCCCAGCCGGAAGGUGGCGCCGCCGCCGCGCGUCCGGCGCCAUGACAUGCUCAUCCACGUUGAUCGCGUCGAGGAUUGGUCGCCCCUCUCGCCGCGCUCGUCGCACUCGGCACAGAGCGGCCUUCCCUCGUCAGAGUCGGAUGACAUGCACUCGGUCCCGUCCAUCUGGCCGGGCACAUGGACCAUGCACGUUGAGGACGGCCAAGGCACCCGGCGCCACCCGGCCCUGGUGGCUCCGUCGGGCUGCGGUGGCGUGCGCCAAGGUGGGCCCCACGACUGCGACGACCACGACAGCGACAAGGUCGGGCGGCGCUCCUCGAAGGACCCCCUACUGGGCUGCAAGCAGGCUGGUGGCACAGUGCAGCCCCGAAAGGCGUCUGCAAGCUCAAGCCGCCAGCGGAGCCGGAUGCCUUCCAGUCGUCGGAACAGGACCGGUGGCAGGCCGGAGCCUGUCGUCCUCAAGGCCACGCCCCCACUGCCCCUGGCCCCGCGUGAGCCGGCAGUUGCGGUUGGGGUCGCUACCGCUGGGUAG